GCUGGGCGUGGUGGCACAUGCCUGUAGUCUUAGCUACUCGGGAGGCUGAGGUGGGAGGAUUGCUUAAGCCCAGGAGUUCUGGGCUGUAGUGCGCUAUGCCGAUCGGGUGUCCGCACUAAGUUCAGCAUCAAUAUGGUGACCUCCCGGGAGGUGGGGGACCACCAGGUUGUCUAAGGAGGGGUGAACCGGCCCAGGUUGGAAACCGAGCAGGUCAAAACUUCUGUUCUGAUCAAUGGUGGGAUUGCACCUGUGAAUAGCCACUGCACUCCAACCUGGGCAACAUAGCAAGACCCCCAUCUCUU
ensembl:misc_RNA Metazoa_SRP Metazoan signal recognition particle RNA